AUUGAACGCUGGCGGCAUGCUUUACACAUGCAAGUCGAACGGCAGCGCGGGCUUCGGCCUGGCGGCGAGUGGCGAACGGGGGAGUAAUGCAUCUGCACGUGCCCAGGAGUGGGGGAUAGCGCGGCGAAAGCCGGAUUAAUACUGCAUACGACCUGGAGGUGCAAGCGGGGGACCGAGAUGCCUCGCGCUAUUGCAACGGCCGAUGUCGGAUUAGCUAGUUGGUGGGGUAAAGGCUUACCAAGGCGACGAUCCGUAGCUGGUCUGAGAGGACGAGCAGCCACACUGGGACUGAGACACGGUCCAGACUCCUACGGGAGGCAGCAGUGGGGAAUUUUGGACAAUGGGGGCAACCCUGAUCCAGCCAUGCCGCGUGCGGGAAGAAGGCCUUCGGGUUGUAAACCGCUUUUGUUCGGGAAGAAAUCCUCUGGGCUAAUACCCCGGGGGGAUGACGGUACCGGAAGAAUAAGCACCGGCUAACUUCGUG
rnacentral:rRNA from 1 species